rnacentral:rRNA from 1 species
CAGACCACACGAGAUAAGUUGGGUGGUCAAAAGGGAAAGAGCCCAGACCUGCAGCUAAGGUCCCAAAGUGCGUGUUAAGUGGAAAAGGAUGUGGGAUCUCGAAGACAACUAGGAUGUUGGCUCAGAAGCAGCCAUACAUUCAAAGAGUGCGUAAUAGCUCACUAGUCGAGAGGUCCUGCGCCGAAAAUGAACCGGGGCUAAACACGACACCGAAGCUCAGGAAUCCGAAAGGAUUGGUAGAGGAGCAUUGCUGAAGCGACGAAGCAGUACCGRAAGGAGCUGUGGAGUUUCAGGAAGAGAGAAUGCCGGAAUGAGUAGCGAGAGAAAGGUGAGAAUCCUUUCGGCCGAAUAUCCAAGGUUUCCAGGGUAAAGCUGAUCUGCCCUGGGUAAGUCGGGGCCUAAGGCGAGGCAGAAAUGCGUAGUCGAUGGACAGCAGGUUGAGAUUCCUGCACCCGUAAUGAACAGAACUGUAGUGACACGGAAGGUAAGACAGAGCCGGGAAUGAGAAAACCGGUGCAAGCACAAUAGAUGUGCGGGAGGAAAAACCCCCGCAUAAGUCGAAGGUGUGACGCGGACCGAAAAAGAGUAGGGAAGCUGUUAAGCAAGCCGUCAAGAAAAGCUGCUAUUGUUUCAUUAUGGCCCGUACCGUAAACCGACACAGGUGGAUGGGGAGAGAAUCCUAAGGCCGGCGGAAGAAGUAUUGUUAAGGAACUCGGCAAAAUGACCCCGUAACUUCGGGAGAAGGGGUGCCUGCGAGAGCAGGCCGCAGAGAAGAGGCCCAAGCAACUGUUUAGCAAAAACACAGGUCUAUGCAAAACCGAAAGGUGAGGUAUAUGGGCUGACGCCUGCCCGGUGCUGGAAGGUUAAGGGGAGUGGUCAGGAAACGAAGCCACGAACUUAAGCCCCAGUAAACGGCGGCCGUAACUAUAACGGUCCUAAGGUAGCGAAAUUCCUUGUCGGGUAAGUUCCGACCCGCACGAAAGGCGUAAUGAUUUGGGCGCUGUCUCGACAAUACAUCCGGUGAAAUUGAAGUGCCAGUGAAGAUGCUGGCUACCUGCGCCAGGACGGAAAGACCCCAUGGAGCUUUACUCCAGCUUGAUACUGGGACCCGGUAUUGCAUGUACAGGAUAGGUGGGAGGCUAGGAAAUGUGGACGCCAGUCUGCAUGGAGCCGCUGUUGGGAUACCACCCUUGUGGUGCUGGGUUUCUAACCAGAGGCCGUGAACCGGUCUGGGGACAAUGUCAGGUGGGGAGUUUGACUGGGGCGGUCGCCUCCGAAAGGGUAUCGGAGGCGCCCAAAGGUU